GUUCAUCCACCUCCUUUGUACUCAUCUUCCCUCGGAACAUGGCAGAAGCAGUGAGAUAGCGGCCAUGUCGGGGGUCAGCGGCACACAUCAUGUUCUUAGAGUCCCACAUCUGCUGGGUGAGUUCUGGAACGGUCAAGGCUCGGUACUGCUGCGAUCCCCUGGAGGUCAGGGGCGCGAAUCCAACCAUGAAGAAGUGGAGGCGG
rnacentral:misc_RNA from 1 species